AAUCAACGCUGGCGGCGUGCCUAACACAUGCAAGUCGCACGAGAAAGGGACUUCGGUCCUGAGUACAGUGGCGCACGGGUGAGUAACACGUGAAUAAUCUACCUUCGAGUGGGGAAUAACUGAGAGAAAUCUUAGCUAAUACCGCAUAAUACCCACGGGUCAAAGCAGCAAUGCGCUUGAAGAGGAGUUCGCGGCAGAUUAGUUAGUUGGCAGGGUAAUGGCCACCAAGACGAUGAUCUGUAUCCGGCCUGAGAGGGCGCACGGACACACUGGAACUGAAACACGGCCCAGACUCCUACGGGAGGCAGCAGUGGGGAAUUUUGCGCAAUGGGGGAAACCCUGACGCAGCAACGCCGCGUGGAGGAUGAAAUCCCUUGGGA
rnacentral:rRNA from 1 species